rnacentral:rRNA from 1 species
AUUGAACGCUGGCGGCAGGCCUAACACAUGCAAGUCGAGCGGAGCGGCGGACGGGUGAGUAAUGCCUAGGAAUCUGCCUGGUAGUGGGGGAUAACGUACGGAAACGGGCGCUAAUACCGCAUACUAUCAGAUGAGCCUAGGUCGGAUUAGCUAGUUGGUGGGGUAAAGGCCUACCAAGGCGACGAUCCGUAACUGGUCUGAGAGGAUGAUCAGUCAAACUGGAACUGAGACACGGCCCAUACUCCUACGGGAGGCAGCAGUGGGGAAUAUUGGACAAUGGGCGAAAGCCUGAUCCAGCCAUGCCGCGUGUGUGAAGAAGGUCUUCGGAUUGUAAAGCACUUGCAGCGGGGAGGCGUUACCCGCAGAAGAAGCACCGGCUAACUCCGUGCCAGCAGCCGCGGUAAUUC